rnacentral:rRNA from 1 species
UACGAAGGGGGCUAGCGUUGUCCGGAAUUAUUGGGCGUAAAGAGCUCGUAGGCGGUGUGUCGCGUCGGCCGUGAAAACCUGCAGCUUAACUGUGGGCUUGCGGUCGAUACGGCAUCACUGGAGUUCGGCAGGGGAGACUGGAAUUCCUGGUGUAGCGGUGAAAUGCGCAGAUAUCAGGAGGAACACCAGUGGCGAAGGCGGCUUACUGGUCCGGUUCUGACGCUGAGGCGCGAAAGCGUGGGGAGCAAACAGG